UACGGGGGGGGCAAGCGUUGUUCGGAAUUACUGGGCGUAAAGGGCUCGUAGGCGGCCAACUAAGUCAGACGUGAAAUCCCUCGGCUUAACCGGGGAACUGCAUCUGAUACUGGAUGGCUUGAGAUUGGGAGAGGGAUGCGGAAUUCCAGGUGUAGCGGUGAAAUGCGUAGAUAUCUGGAGGAACACCGGUGGCGAAGGCGGCAUCCUGGACCAACACUGACGCUGAGGAGCGAAAGCGUGGGGAGCAAACAGG
rnacentral:rRNA from 1 species